CUCCAACAAAAAACCUAUAGCACCAUCUCAAAUUUCUAGAAUUUUAAAGCACCAACUUCACUCGAGAAUGGCAGACAAUCAAAGUUCAAAUUUUGGAAUUCAAUCUGGACAUAGGUGCAAGAAAAUGGAUUCAACACACUUAGACAAUCACCUUCUCAAUCGCAGAAAUAAUGUCUAGAUUCAAAGUUGAAACAGAAAGAUAGAACUCUCAACUACUUCCGCAAAGCCAC
rnacentral:lncRNA from 1 species